rnacentral:rRNA from 1 species
UACGAAGGGGACUAGCGUUGUUCGGAAUCACUGGGCGUAAAGCGCACGUAGGCGGAUAUGCCAGUCAGGGGUGAAAUCCCGGGGCUCAACCUCGGAACUGCCUUUGAUACAGCAUAUCUUGAGUCCGAUAGAGGUGGGUGGAAUUCCUAGUGUAGAGGUGAAAUUCGUAGAUAUUAGGAAGAACACCGGUGGCGAAGGCGGCCCACUGGAUCGGUACUGACGCUGAGGUGCGAAAGCGUGGGGAGCAAACAGG